rnacentral:rRNA from 1 species
GACGGGCCGAGCGAACGUUAUUCGGAAUCACUGGGCUUAAAGGGCGCGUAGGCGGGUGAGCAAGUCACUGGUGAAAUCCUCUAGCUCAACUGGAGGACUGCCUGGGAUACUGGUUGACUCGAGGAAGGUAGAGGUGGGUGGAACGUUCAGUGGAGCGGUGAAAUGCAUUGAUACUGAACGGAACACCGGUGGCGAAGGCGUCACACUGGACCACUUCUGACGCUGAGGGGCGAAAGCUAGGGGAGCAAACGGG